GUGGGGAAUAUUGGACAAUGGGCGAAAGCCUGAUCCAGCCAUGCCGCGUGUGUGAAGAAGGUCUUCGGAUUGUAAAGCACUUUAAGUUGGGAGGAAGGGCAGUAAGUUAAUACCUUGCUGUUUUGACGUUACCGACAGAAUAAGCACCGGCUAACUUCGUGCCAGCAGCCGCGGUAAUACGAAGGGUGCAAGCGUUAAUCGGAAUUACUGGGCGUAAAGCGCGCGUAGGUGGUUUUGUAAGUUGGAGGUGAAAUCCCCGGGCUCAACCUGGGAACUGCCUCCAAAACUGCAUGACUAGAGUACGGUAGAGGGUAGUGGAAUUUCCUGUGUAGCGGUGAAAUGCGUAGAUAUAGGAAGGAACACCAGUGGCGAAGGCGACUACCUGGACUGAUACUGACACUGAGGUGCGAAAGCGUGGGGAGCAAACAGGAUUAGAAACCCGGGUAGUCC
rnacentral:rRNA from 1 species